rnacentral:rRNA from 1 species
UACGUAGGUUGCAAGCGUUAAUCGGAAUUACUGGGCGUAAAGCGUGCGCAGGCGGCUCUGCAAGUCAGAUGUGAAAUCCCCGGGCUCAACCUGGGAACUGCAUUUGAGACUGCAGGGCUAGAGUACGGUAGAGGGGGAUGGAAUUCCGCGUGUAGCAGUGAAAUGCGUAGAUAUGCGGAGGAACACCGAUGGCGAAGGCAAUCCCCUGGACCUGUACUGACGCUCAUGCACGAAAGCGUGGGGAGCAAACAGG